rnacentral:lncRNA from 1 species
UAAUGGCUUAAAAUGACUACCAUUUAUUUUGGUCACAGUUCUAUGGGUUACAGUUUGAACAGGGCUCAACUGGGCCAUUCUAUUGGUCUUGACUGGGCUUGCGUGUGAAUCUAUAGGCAGCUGCAGAGAGCUGGAUUGCCAUGUCUCUGGCAGUGCCGGCUGUUGACUGGGAUGUUGGAGAGGACUGGGCCACGUGUUUCACAGCAUCCACCUGGCUAGAGUAGGCUUGUUCACAUGGUGACAGAAAUGUUCCAAGCGCAGUCAGCCCUCCGUAUCCAUGCGCUCCGCAUCUCUGGUUUUAACCAAGUCAUAAUUUAGUAUAACAACUAUCUACACAGCAUUUACAUUGUAUUAAGUAACAUAAGUAAUCUAGAAAUGAUUUGAAGGAUACAAAAGGAUGCGCAUAGGUUAUAUGGAAACACUGCAGCAUUUUAUAUAAGAGACUAGAGUGUCCACUGAUUUUGGGAGGUCCUGGAACCAAUCCCCCAUGGAUACAGAGGGAUGACUGCACAUCCUUGGGGUCAGCCCAGAUGUGCAAGCCCUUUGAAUGCCUCUACCUGAAUCACAUUUGCUACCACCCAUCCCGCUGGUCACAGCCAGUUGCAUGACCAAGUCCAGAGUGAGACAGGAUUGCCUAAGGGCGUGGAUGCUGGGAGCAGGAAGCAUUCGUGGCUGCUUUUGUAAUCAGACUAUUUGAGUUGAAAAUGGCCUUUAAGACCUGUCACAGAAAGGCCUAUCAGGCUUCUUUUUAUCACCACACUGUUCCUCCUACACUUUCCUCCUCCUGGAACCCUUUUUCUAUCUGUCUUUGGACAGAGCCCUAGUCCACUUUUUUUUUUGAGACAGGGGAGUGCUCUUUUGCCCAGGUUCUCAGUCCACACUCUCCACACAUCUAGGAUCAAGUGGCCUAUUCGCCACCAUGGCUACGACUAGCUGUAUCAGCUGUGAUCAUGAACCCUCACAUUUGCGAGGGCAGGCAGAGGGAGUCCCUCCCUACCACGUGGUCAUUGCCUUCCCUCUUUAUUAUUAACCCCUUUCAUAGAAGAAUCAGCUGAAGCCUAGAGGUGUGGGAUAUUUUGCACAAACCUAUGCUGGAGCAACAAGGGGAGCCAGGCUUGGAACUCCAUUUGUCUGAUUCCAGAGACUGCACUCCCCGCCAGUACUUGAUCCUCCCCACAGCCGCCGUCUCUCCAAGUCAAAGGCCCCUGAAGUUCUCCCUCACUCUGUUUCAAGUGGCAAAAGCCCCAGGCUCCAGGCCUGUUCACGGACUCCCGACAGAUCUCCUGCAGCUUUUCUCUUGCUCCUGCUUUUACUGGGAAUUAUAACUAUUUCAGCAGUUUUAGUGUUUGAAGGAAGCUUUCUCUACGUAUCUUUCCUCCCUCUGGGGACAGGAUUGCUUUACUCAUCACAGGGAAGGCCUUAAAUGACCUUCUGCUACAUCCACAGAUUUUAUUUCAUCUCUCUCCAUUAGAAAUAAAGAUGAAGGCAAGACCAUGGUUUCUGAGUUCUCUUAGUCUCCACAGAAUGUAAUUACUACAUUUUUUUCUUUUUCUAAUCACAGGAGACUUCUCUCAGCAACCUAGUUACUGAUUCUAUUACUCCCUCACUCUCCACUUCCAACUGCUCUUUGAAGCGG